GACGAACGCUGGCGGCGUGCCUAAUACAUGCAAGUCGAGCGGACUGAUUAAGAGCUUGCUCUUAUGACGUUAGCGGCGGGCGGGUGAGUAACACGUGGGCAACCUGCCCUGUAGAUCGGGAUAACACCGAGAAAUCGGUGCUAAUACCGGGUAAUAUCUGAGAUCACAUGAUCUUAGGUUAAAAGAUGGCUCCGGCUAUCACUACAGGAUGGGCCCGCGGCGCAUUAGCUAGUUGGUAAGGUAAUGGCUUACCAAGGCGACGAUGCGUAGCCGACCUGAGAGGGUGAUCGGCCACACUGGGACUGAGACACGGCCCAGACUCCUACGUGAGGCAGCAGUAGGGAAUCUUCCGCAAUGGACGAAAGUCUGACGGAGCAACGCCGCGUGAGUGAUGAAGGGUUUCGGCUCGUAAAGCUCUGUUGUUAGGGAAGAAACAGUACCGAACGAACUAGGUCGGUACCUUGACGGUACCUAACCAGAAAGCCACGGCUAACUACGUG
rnacentral:rRNA from 1 species